rnacentral:misc_RNA from 1 species
AAGAGUUGCAAAAACUCCCACAAAACCAUCGCGAAACGUUACCCAGGACGUCGUUUGCUUCGGCGGGCUCGCCCGCCGGGGGGACGCUACCAGACUCUUGCAGUUAUUCGGCCUCUCUGAGUAUGAUUUUUUUAAAUAAGUCAA